rnacentral:rRNA from 1 species
CUUACACAUGCAAGUCGAACGGCAGCGCGGGGCAACCUGGCGGCGAGUGGCGAACGGGUGAGUAAUAUAUCGGAACGUACCCUGGAGUGGGGGAUAACGUAGCGAAAGUUACGCUAAUACCGCAUACGAUCUAAGGAUGAAAGUGGGGGAUCGCAAGACCUCAUGCUCCUGGAGCGGCCGAUAUCUGAUUAGCUAGUUGGUGGGGUAAAGGCCUACCAAGGCAUCGAUCAGUAGCUGGUCUGAGAGGACGACCAGCCACACUGGAACUGAGACACGGUCCAGACUCCUACGGGAGGCAGCAGUGGGGAAUUUUGGACAAUGGGCGAAAGCCUGAUCCAGCAAUGCCGCGUGAGUGAAGAAGGCCUUCGGGUUGUAAAGCUCUUUUGUCAGGGAAGAAACGGUGAGGGCUAAUAUCCUUUGCUAAUGACGGUACCUGAAGAAUAAGCACCGGCUAACUACGUGCCAGCAGCCGCGGUAAUACGUAGGGUGCAAGCGUUAAUCGGAAUUACUGGGCGUAAAGCGUGCGCAGGCGGUUUUGUAAGUCUGUCGUGAAAUCCCCGGGCUCAACCUGGGAAUUGCGAUGGAGACUGCAAGGCUAGAAUCUGGCAGAGGGGGGUAGAAUUCCACGUGUAGCAGUGAAAUGCGUAGAGAUGUGGAGGAACACCGAUGGCGAAGGCAGCCCCCUGGGUCAAGAUUGACGCUCAUGCACGAAAGCGUGGGGAGCAAACAGGAUUAGAUACCCUGGUAGUCCACGCCCUAAACGAUGUCUACUAGUUGUCGGGUU